rnacentral:lncRNA from 1 species
AUACACAAGAAUAAGGCGAUUGAGUAUGGUUGCAAAUAAGACGUUACCCACUAAAAUAAAAGUUCAAAUAAAGUCGAUGCGGGCAAUUAUAAGCAGCCGUACAGCUUCAACAAUGAGAAUAAUCAUUGCCGUAGUGUCGUGUAGAAAUGACCAAGACACAUUUGUGGGCGUUCAGCUCUCCUCAUAACCUAGGACAACAAUCUUACAGCACAACACAAGAAAUAAAUAUAAAAGUCAGUUGAAGAGGGCUUAACUCAUAAGAUCGAUACAAAGCAAAAAUCAUAUAUUAAAACAGACCAGAUAUUGAAGGUAAUUGAUUCAUCCCUAACGACUAAAAAUAC